GCCCUUGUAACUCAGUGGCUAGAGUGCGUCACUAGUAUUACUAGGAAUGACGUGGUCGUCAGUUCGAUUCUGGCUGAGGGCA